rnacentral:rRNA from 1 species
AUUGAACGCUGGCGGCAUGCCUUACACAUGCAAGUCGAACGGCAGCACGGGUGCUUGCACCUGGUGGCGAGUGGCGAACGGGUGAGUAAUACAUCGGAACGUACCUUAUCGUGGGGGAUAACGCAGCGAAAGUUGCGCUAAUACCGCAUACGCCCUGAGGGGGGAAGCGGGGGACCGUAAGGCCUCGCGCGAUUAGAGCGGCCGAUGUCUGAUUAGCUUGUUGGUGAGGUAAAAGCUCACCAAGGCGAUGAUCAGUAGCUGGUCUGAGAGGACGAUCAGCCACACUGGGACUGAGACACGGCCCAGACUCCUACGGGAGGCAGCAGUGGGGAAUUUCGGACAAUGGGGGCAACCCUGAUCCAGCAAUGCCGCGUGAGUGAAGAAGGCCUUCGGGUUGUAAAGCUCUUUUGUCAGGGAAGAAACAGCAGCUCUAACACAGUCUGCGAAUGACGGUACCUGAAGAAUAAGCACCGGCUAACUACGUGCCAGCCGCCGCAGUAA